rnacentral:lncRNA from 1 species
UGUAUUCAUUGUCAUGAAAGGAUUAGACAAAACAGGUGAGAUACCAAUGAUGUUUGGUCGGCCCAUGAAGUUCAUGUCCAUAACACUCAUACCCAUUCCCAUCGGUGCCAUCAUCGACAUUUGAAGUUGUUGUUGCAACAUCAUCGAUGGUAAGUUCAUCCUAUUCAUCAUUUGGACUUGUGCUUGUAAUUGUUUUAAGUAUUCAAUCACUUCAUCUAACAUUGAAGCUUUGUCUGUCUGUAAAAUGGUAAUAAACAUUAAGAUUAUAUCAAUGCAUUGCAGGCAUGACCAAGUCUUGUGUCAUUAGUUAGCUGUUUUUCAAAGGCAAAUGACAGAUUUUCAGACAUGUCGAGGACCAAAUAAGGGGCCUACCAUGAAAGGGUAUUUAUGUGGUAGCAGGUGAUUGUCGCCACACCUAUCAACGUAACCCUCUGUCAAGUUGUUCCCCUUUGGCAAAUGUGGCUUGGGAUCAUUUGCAACAGUCCCGAAAUUCCAACAAGCAAUUUGUAGGUAAUAUAUAUAUUUGGGGGGGGGGGGGGGUUUGGACCACAUACAUUUAAUAUGUUGUUCUAUGUCUAAAAAUAGAUCUCCUAAUCAUGUGAAGUAAAUGUAGGAUAUUUUUUAUUCAUGGGAUUUAUAUAUAUAUAUUUAAAUUACCCAUAUUAAAUAAUUUGUUCUAUAAAAUAUUUAUAUAUACAUACCAUCUAAGAGAAGGAUAAGCUUGUCGAUUGAGUCUUAACUCAGUUGGUAUUGACAUUAUUAUCAGUGCAAGAGAACAUAGAUUCGAAUGCGCUGAAGCGCAUUAUCCUCUUAUUUAAAGAUUGGGGAAGGAUUACGGAUAGUUCUAAGCAUUGUAUCAAAAAUCAAAGACUAAAAAUCGUGAUUAAAUAAAAAUAUGAUACCGGAAUAACUUACAAAUAGAAAGAAUUAUUAUCAAUAAUCCAUGAAAGGAACCCAAAAAGAAUCUAAAAAUUAUGAAGAUUUUUUUUCCAUUUUCCUAAAAUACUUGUUUGUAGACCACAAAAAAAUGUAAAUAUAAUAUAAUAUAAUAAUAGAAAAAUGAAAAAAAGACCCCACAAAAUUAUUGGGUGACAGUGAAGUGUAAGCAGACAUCCAAAAUAACACUAAUAAAAGUAUAUUAUUUGAUUGGUCAGCCUUUUUCUUGUUCUUCCUUUUAUUUUCUCUAAUUUUUAUAUUUAAAAGAAAAUUAAAAAUACAAAAAAAAGAGGAAAUUAUAGGAUAAAGUCUGUAUUUUGUAAGUAGAGAAUAUAUGUACAGUAGUCAAGCUUCUUUUGAGCAUAGGCAGUGUUUGCGGGGUUUUUAAUUGAACUGCAUGGAUUUUUAUUUAUCAAUACAACUUGUCUAUUUCCUAAAAUGUUUAAUAUUGUUUAUUAAAAAACUUAAAUCUAUUGAAAAUAAUAAAAAAAACAUACCUUGCUUGAAUUAGGUACCAAUUUCUGUAAUGUUUUCAUCCUUUGAUUUAUCUUAUCUCUUCUUUUCUGAGAAAAUCCAAAAAAAAAAAAGAUAAAUUAAAAAAAUAAUAUUUAUUGAGCAUAUUUAGAAAAGUGAAGUUACUUUUUUAUAUAUGCUUUUUCUUACUGAGCACUCACACUUCGGCAACUAGCCUAAAUAUCGAAUCCAAUCAUUGACUCUGAUUUUUAUUUAUUAAAUUUAAUCUAUUUCAGAUUGGCAAAGAAUAGACUUACACGUUCAGAUUGGUUAUGGAUAGCUGCAGCUCUGCUCCUUUUUGUUGAAAUGGAAGAUUUCAUAGUUUCCUUUUUGUCUUCCUCACCUAUCUCCUCCUUUAACACACCAAAUUUGAAAUGAAAAA